rnacentral:rRNA from 1 species
GCUCAGGAUGAACGCUGGCGGCGUGCUUAACACAUGCAAGUCGAACGAUGAUCUCCAGCUUGCUGGGGGGAUUAGUGGCGAACGGGUGAGUAACACGUGAGUAACCUGCCCUUGACUCUGGGAUAAGCCUGGGAAACUGGGUCUAAUACCGGAUAUGACCAUCUGGCGCAUGUCAUGGUGGUGGAAAGCUUUUUUGUGGUUUUGGAUGGACUCGCGGCCUAUCAGCUUGUUGGUGGGGUAAUGGCCUACCAAGGCGACGACGGGUAGCCGGCCUGAGAGGGUGACCGGCCACACUGGGACUGAGACACGGCCCAGACUCCUACGGGAGGCAGCAGUGGGGAAUAUUGCACAAUGGGCGCAAGCCUGAUGCAGCGACGCCGCGUGAGGGAUGACGGCCUUCGGGUUGUAAACCUCUUUCAGUAGGGAAGAAGCGUAAGUGACGGUACCUGCAGAAGAAGCGCCGGCUAACUACGUGCCAGCAGCCGCGGUAAUACGUAGGGCGCAAGCGUUAUCCGGAAUUAUUGGGCGUAAAGAGCUCGUAGGCGGUUUGUCGCGUCUGCUGUGAAAGACCGGGGCUCAACUCCGGUUCUGCAGUGGGUACGGGCAGACUAGAGUGCAGUAGGGGAGACUGGAAUUCCUGGUGUAGCGGUGAAAUGCGC